UACGUAGGGGACGAGCGUUGUCCGGAUUCAUUGGGCGUAAAGCGCGCGUAGGCGGCUCGGAAAGUCGGUCGUGAAAUGCCGGGGCUCAACCCCGGGACUGCGUCCGAUACUUCCGGGCUGGAGGUAGGUAGGGGAGAUCGGAAUUCCUGGUGUAGCGGUGAAAUGCGCAGAUAUCAGGAGGAACACCGGUGGCGAAGGCGGAUCUCUGGGCCUUAACUGACACUGAGGCGCGAAAGCUAGGGGAGCGAACAGG
rnacentral:rRNA from 1 species